AGAGUUAAAUAGUACGUGAAAUUGUUGAAAGGGAAACGAUUAAAGUCAGUCAUGUUGGUAGGGAAUCAACUUGUUGGUAUGCGAGUUUUCUCGUGUCCUUUCCGGUGCACUUCCUUACUUUACAGGUUAGCAUCAAUUUUGGUUAUCAUAUAAAAAUUGAGGGAAGGUGGCUUUUCUUCGGAAAAGUGUUAUAGACCUUGAUAAAUGUGGUGACCGGGAUUGAGGUUUGCAGCGGAUACCCUUUCGGGCUAGUCACCUGGCUUCUGAUGGUUACCUCAUCUUCGACAGCUUGCUAACGUUGGUGGGACGCGAUCGUCUAGAUGUUAGAGUGAUCAUAAAUUCGCUAAGGAUGCUGACGUAAUGGCUUUAAACGACC
rnacentral:rRNA from 1 species